GCAACAACAACCACCACCACAAGAAGGAUAUGAUCAACAGCAGCAGUUUGGAGGUGGAUCCGAUGGUGGACAAUACCAAAGAGGACCACCAGGAGGCUAUCGG
rnacentral:sRNA from 1 species